rnacentral:lncRNA from 1 species
CUGUGCUGGUGACUAAUAAAGGCUCCUGACGUUUCUUGCCGAGUCUGGGAAGCCAGAAAUAAAAGCCACUUCCAGCUAGGUGUGCUCCAGCCUGAACAUGGACCAUUCACAGGAGGCACUGGUCCAGCCAUGCGGCACCUAUGGACAGGCACUGCUGUGCUUGGUGUCAGCUGCAGCCGUCCCAGGGCCUUUGAAUGACAGCCAAAGGUGUCUCCUCACCACCGGCAGAGCAAUCAUUCUCCAGACGUCAGGCAGACAUUUUCACAGCUCUCCCCACACUAGAGAUUUCUAGUUCUCCUGAAGACCCAGGGUAAGAGAUUGUGCUGUCACUGGACAGAACAAGAUAGAAACAGCAUCUCAAGAGUGCCAGGGAGCACAUGGGCAAGCAGCAGGGAGCGAUGACGACUGUGAUGGACCACACACUGCCACUGUCUCAGACACGGAGCCCGUCACCAACUUGCUCCUCCUCCAAGAUCAGUUCCUCCAGUGACCGUCUCUACCAAGAGAAUGAAGAGCGCUGGACCAGAUACCACAGGACAUUCCUGAUGCCUGAGACACAGUCCCUUUCUUCAAAAUACUAUCUAAGUGUAGGAAAGAGGAACAUGCAGAGAACACAUGGAGAAAAGCCACCAGAAAGUUCCAGGGAAGAUGUUAUGAAAGUCUGGGGAAGACAGAACUUAUUUCACUUGGUUAAGAUCGUCUUGAGGAAAGAGACUGUCCCCAGGAUCUAGCAUGGUGCCUGGAAAAUAGCGAGAAUGAACAGAUGUUGCUUGGCAUGUGCAUGGAGAGAUCUCACUGAACUUGUUGAGGUUCUCUGGAACUGGCUUCUAGAAAUCUGAAGGGAGGGAGGGAGAAGCAGUGGGGCGCUCUGUGAGGCAAAGGGCUGAAGCGGGGGACCAUCUGUGAUGGGGGAGCUGAUGAGGUGUGUGGGUUUGGCUCCAUGUGACUGAUGUUAAACACCGAGGUGCCUCUGAUUGUUAUGACGGGAUCACCUAUGCCAAAGGACAGAGGAGGUGGAGAUGCAGAGAGAAGAAGUGGUCUCUGACCUGCACUUACCCUGUGCUGAUAAGGACCGAAGGCACAUGGUAAUCUCUCUCUACGUAUGUCCAGCAUUGGGAGAGCAGCCUGGCACCUCUGUCAGCUGGAGCUGAUCAGGUGUUUCCCCAAUAGGUGUGAGUAUUCGGGGGGCGUGAUUAAGCCCAGGAAGGUCAACACUCAGGGAAUGAUGAGCUGCCUGGUAAGGGUGUCCUCCCACAAAAUCUGAAGAACCUUUCCUCAGGAGGGAAAUACCUCUGCAAUCUCCCACGACACUUGUGGAAGCAGAAGAUACUGCCUCUAUCUCUGUGCACAGUUGGGCUCCAUAGGGUCCCAUCGGGACCAGCAGCUUUGCCCCUAAAAGGAAGUCCCCAGGCCUUUAUCACAGGAAUGGCAUUUUCCUACUUAUCUAAAUGUAAAGAGCCUCCCAGGGUCCUUUUCUUCUUAAGUCCAUGUAUGAUUUGUGGAGUUAAAAUUGUAGACACAUCUCAGGCAGCAGGUUUAUUACUAUUAUUGAAACCUUCCUGUGAUCAUAGGCAAACAAUAAAAAUAAACCUCCUUUGAACCUAAUUAUUUUGAAGAUCAGGAACUUCUUUGGGUUAUUACUCUCCUUAUCUAUUGACUGAAUCCUUUUUCUGAAAUUCUAAUUUUCUAAUCUUUAUUCAGAUUCUCAGAGGAAUUCCCUGGUAUUGCCCACAAGACCAAAUGUUUGUGGUACAUUAGAAAAUCAGAUUGUGUACAGCUGAUGGGGCUAUCACAAUAUUUCUGGAACCUCCAAUUAAUACAUUAUCUUGUCUUGUCUUGGACAAAGAAGAAUGAUUGAAUAUGAGGAUUAGAGUUAGUGUUAGUUUAUGAUAAAAUUUCUGCCUGAGGAGUACCUAAUUUUAUAACAGCACAAAGAGAAUGAUCAUUUGUAUAAAAUCUUUCUCCAUUCCUUUUUGUUUGCUUGUUUGUGGUUUUUCUCACUCUGAUACUGUUUUCCCAUUAAUUUCCAUCUAUGAUAAAGAGUUCUGUAUUCAUUGCUCAAGUUAUGGUCUUUUUAGAAAAUCUUGAUUCCCCUAAAUCUUGCCAGAUCUCUGAAUUGGAGGUGAGGUUCAAUGAAAACUGAGAUGAAGAAUUAAGGAGUUGAAGAAGAACCUUCAUUUCACUGUGGGUAGAGACCACCUGGUCUUUUCAUCCUGUUAUAGUGUCAUUUUUAAAAAGAAAAUCCUAUGAUUGGUGAGAGUAGAAAUUUCUCUAACCACUCCGAGG